rnacentral:lncRNA from 1 species
UUUGUUUUGGAGACGGAGUCUUGCUCUGUCCCUCAGGCUGGAGUGCAGCGGCGCCAUCUCAGCUGAAUGCAACCUCUGCCUCCUGGGUUCAAGAGAUUCUCCUGCCUCAGCCUCCCAAGUAGCUGGGAUUACAGGUGCGUGCCACCACGCCUGGCUAAUUUUUUGUAUUUUUAGUAGAGACAGGGUUUCACCGUGUUAGCCAGGAUGACCUUGAUCUUCUGACCUCGUGAUCCUCCCACCUCAGCCUCCCAAAGUGCUGGGAUUACAGGCGUGAGCCACAGCGCCCGGCCUUCAGCGUGCUUUUUUUUUUAAUGGUUUGCUAUAUUUACAUCUGGUUUCUCCUUCUGAAUGAGAAGGAUGGAGCAAAUGCCCCAGAUGAAGCCUACACGACAUGAGUCAGAGAACUUUGGCCAGGAUGUCUGGGGAAAAAGUUUCCUCUUUCUUCUCUGGGAACUAUCUGGAGAGGGUUGUUUUAACGCUGGAUGUGAACAGCGACUCGUGUAGCCCCAGAAGCCUCUGACAGCCGCGUUGGAAUCAUAAGUUCUCAAAAUGAAGGUUGUGGUCUAGAAAGCAUAUUGUGAUUUGUACAAGAAGCACAUUCCCAUUUUACAAAAG